GUCACCAUGCCGGACUGCCGAACCUGAGGUCCCGGGUUCGAUUCCCGGUUCAGUCGACAUGUGUGUGAUGAGCAUGUUUGUUGGCCGUGGUCUGGGUGUUACAAUAUGUAUUUAUCAAUAUGUAUAUAUGUAGCUAUAUGUAGUUUAUCAGUUGUGUUAGCACCCAUAACACAAGUUAAUUAAUAACUUACCAUGGGGCUAACCGACCGUGUGUGAAAAUGUGUCCAGACAUUAUUUAACUAAAAGUUUGCAGUCUGCGAGUACUCUAAUAGAAUUAAUUCCCGUGCUAGUAGAUUACUGGAGUGGAAUAAUGUAAACGGACCAUAAAAACGUCCACGCCUCUCUGUAGUUCAACAAACCUUUUCAUUCAUUCACGCUUCCGUAACAUUCACUCACUCGGGGAUUUGUAAUUAUUGUAGCGAUUUAUAUUUUAUUUUGUAGUGUUAAUUUAAAUUUUGGAAGAUUUUAAAGGGAACGGAGGCAUGGCAUAGUUAUAUUACCUGGGCUGUAUAACAGCAGCUACAGGAGUGCUAAAACUGACUGGGAAUAAGCGUUACAAGUGUUCAUAUUGGAAUUGGUAUCAAACAAAGAUCUGCAAAAAUGUCUCGAGUAGCUAAUACUUUGGAUAUGCAGCAGAUUGAAUUUCGUGCUGUCAUCAAAUUCCUUACAAAACAAGGAAAAGGACCUUCUGUCAUUUUAAAUGAAAUGAAAGCAGUAUAUGGUGAUAAAUGUCCUGGCAAAACUAUGGUAUACAAAUGGAUUAGCAUGUUUCAAGAGGGAAGGGAAAUGAUUGAAGAUAAACCUAGGGCCUUGACUUUUAAGCGUCGUCGCACAGAACCUACCCCUCUAUUCAAAGAGAUCCCACCACCAAAAGACUAUAAGGAAAUUGAUGUUAUGGACAGCGCUUUUGAUGAUGAAGCUUUUAUAGAUGAACUACAGAAUGAAUACCUUGAUUCUGAGCCUUAAAUGGCAGCAUAGCACAGGUUUUAGAGUAGUAUCUUGACCAAAUUUGUAAAUAAAAACUGCACCUCAAUAUGCUGGACAUGUAAAAUGAUGGUAACAGAUUGAAAAAUGUAAAGGAGAAAAUGAGUGAUGAUUGAGGUGCAUACAAUGCACAAAAAUCCAGGAAAAAGGCUUAGGCCAAAGGAUGAUCUUUACAAUUUAACAAAAGGCUCAAAGCAUUGAAUAUCUGAAAUUCUAAAUCUUUAAUUUGGAGACAUAAUAUGACUUCAAAACAUUAUUUGAUUCAGUGUUGAUGUGUGGUGAUUUUAUUAAAUUUACUCUUGUAACAAACAGCACGAAAAUAACAUUAAUGUGUGUCUUUAUAAGUAGUUUUAAUAGGUACUUCUAUGACGCAAAAUAAUGAAAUGCUUUUUUCAACAGUAAUACAGUUUUAAUAUAUUAUAUGUAAUACAUUGUCAAAUCAACAUUGUAAAAUAUCAACUGAAUAAAACAUAAUCAUUUCCUUCAACGAGAUUCAACGA